rnacentral:misc_RNA from 1 species
AAGUCGUAAUAAGGUUUCCGUAGGUGAACCUGCGGAAGGAUCAUUAAAGAGUUAAGGGUCUCUGGCCCGAACCUCCAACCCUCUGUCGUUAUAACUACUUCGUUGCUUUGGCGGGACCGCGAAAGGUUCUCCCGAGCGCGCCGGUCUUCGGACAGGCGAGCGCCCGCCAGAGUCCAACCAAACUCUUGUUUUUAAACCAGUCGUCUGAGUAUAAAAUUUUAAUUAAAUUAAAA